AAUAGAUACCCGGGUAGUCCACGCCGUAAACGAUGGAUGCUAGCUAUUGGGGGGAAUCGACCCCCUCCGAAGCGAAGCUAACGCGUUAAGCAUCCCGCCUGAGUAGUACGAGCACAAGCUUAAAACUACAAAGGAAUUGACGGGGACCCGCACAAGCGGUGGAGCGUGUGGUUUAAUUCGAUGGUAAACGAAGAACCUUACCAAGGUUUGACAUCCCGGUAGCCGUUCUCCGAAAGGAGAAUUUCAUUUAGUUGGACCGGUGACAGGUGAUGCAUGGCCGUCGUCAGCUCGUGUCGUGAGAUGUUGGGUUAAGUCCCGCAACGAGCGCAACCCUUAUGAUUUAGUUGGAUUUUUCUAAACAGACUGCCCUGGUAACAGGGAGGAAGGAGGGGAUGAUGUCAGGUCAGUAUUUCCCUUACACCUUGGGGCGACACACGCGCUACAAUGGCCGGUACAAUGGGCAGCUAAGCCGCGAGGUGGAGCAAAUCCCAUCAAAGCCGGUCCCAGUUCGGAUUGCAGGCUGAAACCCGCCUGCAUGAAGCCGGAAUCGCUAGUAACC
rnacentral:rRNA from 1 species